UCCCUCUGAGGACCCUGCUAGGCGAC
rnacentral:piRNA from 1 species